AGAAGAGCCAAGAAGAGCCAAACCCAAGUAGAUAGGCCACCCCAUGCAAUGAGAGGUGACAAUUGGGCUUGUGAGCCUAAGCCUGUCUCCGGUUGCACUUGAGGGGGUCUGUUGGAAUGUGAACAACGGGGCAAAGUCCCACAUUGGCUAAGAAGCAGAAAAUAAAGGGCUUUAUAACGUGAUGCAAACCAAACCAAAAUGGCUUAAAUGGAGAGCCCAAAUUGCAGCCCAAUUUAGCAUGGCUGUCAACCUGUUUAUUGAUCCACACUCCUGGGCCCACAAUUCACAAUAAUGCCUGCUCUCUUAAAAUUCUACAACUAUUGCUAAACUCUUACUUUCCUGAACUGGUAAAGUUGCAGAACACCCCCACAACCCCCUGGAUGUUGCUCAAUUUCAUUGCUGCUUGAUGGUUUAGACUUUACCUAUCUGGAGAAGUUGCCUAUCUGGAGAAGUUGGUCUAUCUAUCGCUUUUCCAGUUAUUUUUAUUUUCUGUAAUGUGUUGAACCAUAUGAGAGCCGUAGCAGUGGCAAUUGUAAACUGAGAUUAUUAUCUUAGAUACAACUCCACCUGGGGAUGAGUAUAGCACUUGUUAGAUCAUGCAUAGUAGGUCCCAAGCCUGUACAACGGAAAGCAGUUGUGAUGGGUCACAGCUAGCGUAAAACUUAGCUACAUCUCAUGAUAUGGAUCCAAAAAGAUAAUUAUCUUGAAUGAUUGGUGAA
rnacentral:misc_RNA from 1 species